AGGAGAAGCUAAGUACUCAAUAUGCUAGAAUAAAUCUGGUUUGCAUGAUCGAAGUUAUUUUAGGAACAACUGGGAGGAAACAAGGCACAUCUUCAAAGGCAGCAUCCUAACCCUCCACCGAGUCAUUGCUCUGCAAGAUAUGGCUUGUGAGUACCAGCAGAUGCUUGAGCUUCUUAGAAAGGCCCCAUUUUUUGGCAGAUGGCGUGCUAAGCCAGGAUCCGUUGAUUCGUUUAUAGUU